UGGGGAAUAUUGGACAAUGCGGGCAACCGUGAUCCAGCAAUGCCGCGUGAGUGAAGAAGGCCUUAGGGUUGUAAAGCUCUUUUACCCGGGAUGAUAAUGACGGUACUUGAGGAAUCAGCAUCGGCUAACUCCGUGCCAGCAGCCGCGGUAAUACGGAGGAUGCAAGCGUUAUCUGGAAUAAUUGGGCGUAAAGCGUUCGUAGGUGGUUCUGUAAGUCUGCUGUUAAAGCGUGUAGCUCAACUACAUAUAGGCAGUGGAAACUACAAAACUAGAGUGCGUUCGGGGCAGAGGGAAUUCCUAGUGUAGCGGUGAAAUGCGUAGAGAUUAGGAAGAACCCCGGUGGCGAAAGCGCUCUGCUAGGCCGCAACUGACACUGAGGGACGAAAGCUAGGGGAGCGAAUGGGAUUAGAUACCCCGGUAGUCC
rnacentral:rRNA from 1 species